rnacentral:rRNA from 1 species
AGAUUAGCCAUGCAUGUCUAAGUAUAAGCACUUUAUACUGUGAAACUGCGAAUGGCUCAUUAAAUCAGUUAUCGUUUAUUUGAUAGUACCUUACUACAUGGAUACCUGUGGUAAUUCUAGAGCUAAUACAUGCUAAAAACCCCGACUUCAGGAAGGGGUGUAUUUAUUAGAUAAAAAACCAACGCCCUUCGGGGCUCCUUGGUGAAUCAUAAUAACUUAACGAAUCGCAUGGCCUUGCGCCGGCGAUGGUUCAUUCAAAUUUCUGCCCUAUCAACUUUCGAUGGUAGGAUAGUGGCCUACCAUGGUGGCAACGGGUAACGGGGAAUUAGGGUUCGAUUCCGGAGAGGGAGCCUGAGAAACGGCUACCACAUCCAAGGAAGGCAGCAGGCGCGCAAAUUACCCAAUCCCGAUACGGGGAGGUAGUGACAAUAAAUACUGAUACGGGGCUCUUUCGGGUCUCGUAAUUGGAAUGAGAACAAUUUAAAUCCCUUAACGAGGAACAAUUGGAGGGCAAGUCUGGUGCCAGCAGCCGCGGUAAUUCCAGCUCCAAUAGCGUAUAUUAAAGUUGUUGCAGUUAAAAAGCUCGUAGUUGAACCUUGGGUCUGGCUGGCCGGUCCGCCUCACCGCGAGUACUGGUCCGGCUGGACCUUUCCUUCUGGGGAACCUCAUGGCCUUCACUGGCUGUGGGGGGAACCAGGACUUUUACUGUGAAAAAAUUAGAGUGUUCAAAGCAGGCCUUUGCUCGAAUACAUUAGCAUGGAAUAAUAGAAUAGGACGUGCGGUUCUAUUUUGUUGGUUUCUAGGACCGCCGUAAUGAUUAAUAGGGAUAGUCGGGGGCGUCAGUAUUCCGCUGUCARAGGUGAAAUUCUUGGAUUUGCGGAARACUAACUACUGCRAAAGCAUUCSCCAAGGAUGUUUUCAUUAAUCAGGGAACGAAAGUUAGGGGAUCSAARACRAUCARAUACCGUCSUAGUCUUAACCAUAACUAUGCCGACWAGGGAUCGRAMGGGAUUYUWUGAUGACCCGUUCGGCMCCUUACSAGAAAUCAAAGUUUUGGUYKGGGGGGRAGUWUGGYCGCAGGSUKAAACUUAGGAAAUUKRCGGAGGCAUCACAAGGSGKGGAGCBGSGGBCUAUUUKMCYYCMMMMMGGGGAAAMYCMCMGBUCAGACAAAUAGGAUGMMAGAUUKRARCYYUCYUGWWYUUUUGGRDGGUGGUGVAUGAUCGGYGUCUCGU